GGUCCAAUAUGGUGGCAAUCAAAUGACAACAACAUAUUGAUGAUAAUCCUAAACUUCAAUACAUCUUGAGCUCUAAUUAACUUUCAGAAUGGCUGUUUUAGAAAAGACGCACGUAAUGUGCCAUUUAUGUGCAACAAAUGUAACUUAAUACAUGAGAACUCUGAUGCCCCCUCUGACCAUGUGUGGAUCUGCAAGCUGAAAAAUAGCCAGUACAAAAUUUCAAAUGCGUGAAAAAAGGGUAAACAUGAACUUUUACCUCAGCCGGUUAAUUUCUAAGCAAAUAUUAUGGACGAAUGGACAAAUGUUGCAUAUUUUCGCAUCAAUUUGCACAAUUCCAGAGAACUGUAAUGCAAAAAUCCCAUGUGAUUCUGUUCACUUUUCAAUUUUAUCAAAACA